AUCGCUUCUCGACCUUUUGGUUAAGAUCAAGUGAAGUAUCUGUUCUUAUUAGUUUUAUAUCUGCUACGUUCCCUAUACUAUAUAUUAAAUGGAUUUUUGGAAUUGGGAGAUGGAAUUGGGGCUUGCUCCGUCCACUCCACGCAUCGACCUGGUAUUACAGUACCUCCAGGAACAGUGCACCCCCA